CCAUCCCUCUCCUGCACUUCUGCCACUGGUGUGAGGAUGUCCUCGGGUGCAGACUGGUCCCAGAAUGACCACAGUCUGGACCUGGCCUCAUCUGCCAGCUCAUAGCCCGCCGUAGUCACCCACCCAGGCCCACAAGCAAGAACACUACUGCUACGGAGUUUGCAGUGACUUAUUAGCUAGCAUCCCAAAUGUCCUAUUAAAUAAGGCUCCUCUGGCCGGAGACACAGGAAAGAGUCAAGAAUAUGACAGAUUCCCAUGCAUCACCAAAAUCCAUUUUGUUUUCCUCGAGGGCACA
rnacentral:lncRNA from 1 species